AGCUCACGAAGACAUUUUAGUGACCCUAAUUCUUUGGGAAUGAAUCCAGUAAGCUCGUUGUUUACAAUGUGAAGGGAAGUUAAAUUUUUCAGGUUUCCCCAAGUAGCUGGAAUAGGACCUGUGAGACUGUUGUUUGUCAAAACAAGUUCUUUAAGGGAUGUUAACAUUCCUAUUUCCAUAGGAAUCAAACCAGACAGUCUGUUGACAUGAAGGUGUAGAAUGGUAAGUUUGCCCAAAUUUCCUAUGGAAGCAGGAAGUCGACCUGUGAGCUUGUUGUGGGACAAAAAGGCAACACUGAGUGACCUCAACUUUCCAAUUUCCUGAGGGAUUGAACCAGAAAGUUUGUUGUAACGAAGGUUUAGAGCUCUUAGUUCAAUCAAAUUUCCUAUAGAAGAAGGAAUAGGACCUGUCAGAUCGUUGUAAGAAAAAACAAGCACAUCGAGAGA
rnacentral:misc_RNA from 1 species